AGCAGCCUGUGCAUGAACUGACCAGAGACGGAGAAGGAGAGGGUCCAUCUCAAACUCGCAGCCCUCCCAGGGAGUGAGAGAGGAGAGACUCUGGUGUCCCAAAGGUUGGCCUGUUUCCUUCCCUCACGCCCGGCUCAGGAAUGGUGUUCGCAACAGCCCGAGAUGGCGACGGAGGUGUCCUCAUUCCAGCCUUCAGUUUCACAACCCGGGGCUCCGCGAGGAUGGGGAGCCUGCCCUCUCGCGCACAGGGGGUGCAAGGAAGAGCCUGGAUCCCACCUUUCGGAUUCCGGCCGCUUCUAAAGCCUGCGCUGGGGGAGGAAAACAGCCGAAAGAGGAGACAGGGACAGCGCGGGGACAAGGGCAGGGUCUCGGAGGCCCCGAAGGCGCGUCUGAAGAAGGACCGCGCUGACCGUGCACACGCGGCAGGAAGCGGCGAGGGAGAGCGCUGAGCGGCGGCCCCCACGCUGGCCCGAGGCCGGGGCUGCUGACUGCCCUGCGCUGUCCCGGGAGCUGGGGAGCCCAGGCCCGGUCAGUGGCCGGCUGGGGGCUGUAGGCAGGGGGAGCCGGGGCGGGGGGUGCGCGGCUAGGAGGACGCUGCCCCCUGCCGGCGAUGCCCGCGGGCACCUGCAGCCUCCCGGCCUCCCGCGCCCAGAGCUGGUCCCUUAAACUUGGCCGGGGGCUCUGCGAAACUGCCCCCGCGGGGGCUUCUGUUUCCUGUUCCGUGUUCGGUGGGGAUCGAUUUCAGCGCUGCUGUUCCCUGUGUUCACUUUGACCCAGGCUGACGAAGAGCCCCUUGUCUGGGGCCUGGCCAUCUCAGUGGCAGAAGGUAUCCGACCUUGUCAAUUGCCACGGACAGAACGACAAUCAGCAAGAUGUAGUCCAUGCUCUCAAGAGGAAGUCAAGGCAGAAAACCUGUGUACGUGAAGAACCAGAACCUUAUGCCAUAAAAACAUGCGUUAAGAUGACGGGAUGAUGGAGUUAGCGUAUGACAGCUGACAUCUCUUGGCACACUUGGAAAUACACCCCCUGGGAUAACUCAAUACCUCUUAAAACAGCCCUCUUAGG